AUGGAAUCUCCUCAUCACACUGAUGUUGACCCUUCUUGUCUUCUUCCUCCUGGGCAUCCCAGGUCUGGAACAAUUUCAUUUGUGGCUCUCACUCCCUGUGUGUGGCUUAGGCACAGCCACAAUUGUGGGCAAUAUAACUAUUCUGGUUGUUGUUGCCACUGAACCAGUCUUGCACAAGCCUGUGUACCUUUUUCUGUGCAUGCUCUCAACCAUCGACUUGGCUGCCUCUGUCUCCACAGUUCCCAAGCUACUGGCUAUCUUCUGGUGUGGAGCCGGACAUAUAUCUGCCUCUGCCUGCCUGGCACAGAUGUUCUUCAUUCAUGCCUUCUGCAUGAUGGAGUCCACUGUGCUACUGGCCAUGGCCUUUGAUCGCUACGUGGCCAUCUGCCACCCACUCCGCUAUGCCACAAUCCUCACUGACACCAUCAUUGCCCACAUAGGGGUGGCAGCUGUAGUGCGAGGCUCCCUGCUCAUGCUCCCAUGUCCCUUCUUUAUUGGGCGUUUGAACUUCUGCCAAAGCCAUGUGAUCCUACACACGUACUGUACAUGGCUGUGGUGAAGCUGGCCUGUGGAGACACCAGGCCUAACCGUGUGUAUGGGCUGACAGCUGCACUGUUGGUCACUGGGGUUGACUUGUUUUGCAUUGGUCUCUCCUAUGCCCUAAUUGCACAAGCUGUCCUUCGCCUCUCAUCCCAUGAAGCUCGGUCCAAGGCCCUAGGGACCUGUGGUUCCCAUGUCUGUGUCAUCCUCAUCUCUUAUACACCAGCCCUCUUCUCCUUUUUUACACACCGCUUUGGCCAUCACGUUCCAGUCCAUAUUCACAUUCUUUUGGCCAAUGUUUAUCUGCUUUUGCCACCUGCUCUUAAUCCUGUGGUAUAUGGAGUUAAGACCAAACAGAUCCGUAAAAGAGUUGUCAGGGUGUUUCAAAGUGGGCAGGAAAUGGGCAUCAAGGCAUCUGAGUGA